UACGUAGGGCGCAAGCGUUGUCCGGAAUUAUUGGGCGUAAAGAGCUCGUAGGCGGUUUGUCGCGUCUGCUGUGAAAACCUGAGGCUCAACCUCGGGCUUGCAGUGGGUACGGGCAGACUAGAGUGCGGUAGGGGUGACUGGAAUUCCUGGUGUAGCGGUGGAAUGCGCAGAUAUCAGGAGGAACACCGAUGGCGAAGGCGGUUCUCUGGGCCUUACCUGACGCUGAGGAGCGAAAGCAUGGGGAGCAAACAGG
rnacentral:rRNA from 1 species